rnacentral:lncRNA from 10 species
UGAUCACACCACUGCACUCCAGCCUGGGCAACAGAGUGAGACCCGUCUCAAAAAAUAAUAAUAAUAUAAUAAAUAAAAGAGACCCCAGAGAGCUUCCUUGACCCUUCCACCAUAUGAGGACACAGCUAGAAGGCACUCUCUACGAACCAAAAACAGACACCAACUCUUCCUAGUUUUUGUUUUUGUUCUUGUUCUUUUUUUUUUAAGAUGGAGUCUCACUUUGUCACCCAGGCUGGAGUGCAGUGGUGUGAUCUCGGCUCACUACGGCCUCCCCAUCCUGGGUCCAAGCGAUUCUUGUGCCUCAACCUCCCGAGUAGCUGGAAUUACAGGCGCGUGCCACCACGACUGACUAAUUUUGUAUCUUUAGUAGAGACGGGGUUUUUCCACAUUGGUCAGGCUGGUCUCAAACUUCUGACCUCAGAUGAUCCGCCCACCUUGGCCACCCAAAGUGCUGGGAUUACAGGUGUGAACCACUGCGCCCGGCCAGAAGUUUUUCUUGUGAGUUGAGGUGAACAUCUGAAUCCCCUCGGGGAACUGAGGAGGAACUACCCUGCCCUGACAGAGGCUGGGGAUGAAGGAGGAAGAGACAGCCGGUCCCCUGGAUAAAGAGGUGAGGGGGUGUGAAGUCUGGGAGCCCCCCUCCCAGGGCCAGGCUACAGGGGGACAGCAGGGCUAUACCAGGAGUGCCACAGAGCUUGCAUUUGGGUGUGAUCUAAUCCCCAGUCCUGCCCUGACCUCCUGGGUGCUCUUAGCCAAGCCCUCUUCCCUGUGUGUGCUAGAAAGUGAGGGUCACUCCCUUCCACACAAGGGAGUGAAUUGAGGGUGGGGAUCUGAGCUCUCUGAGCAGCAAAGCUGGACACAGGCCAAAUUGCCAAUCCUGAGUCCCUCUGUCAUGUGGACCUGGGAAGCUUGUCCUCAUCCUCCAUCCUUCCCCAGGGUGGGGCCUGAGAAUCUGAGAACCUUGAGCCUGGGAGGUCAAGGCCACAGUGAGCUAUGAUCGCACCACUGCACUCCAGCCUGGGCGAAAGAGUGAGACCCUGCCCCCCCAAAAAAAAAAUAAUAAUAAAUAAAAGAGACUCCAGGGAGUUUGCUUGACCGGCACUCCCUAUGAACCAAAAACAGACACCAACUCCUCCUAGGUUGG